GGGUGCUCUGGAUCUUUUUGUCCCGAGCAUGAUGUCCUGUUUUAUACGUUUAGUAUUUGCUGUAACCGGUAUGCGGAAGACAAAAAGAGAAAAGCCCCGAAUUGAAAUUAAUCAAAACGAGGCCUAUCUGCAUGCGUGAGAAACAUCAGGUUAGCCUCUUACCCGCCGAAAGGCAAGGAGUCGGAGUCUAUGAUG
rfam:Dendroctonus ponderosae Seq01007651, whole genome shotgun sequence.